UGAAAAAUGGCUGCUAAACAAGAGUGAACAGAUGAUAACUUGAUAUUUUGUUAAGGAAUACCCUUUAAAUAGUUUUACGCGUCGGCAGUUAUAAAAAAUGUAGAAAUGACAAUGACGGAACCGUCUUGUCAAUCAACGGACUGCAAAGUUGAAGACAAAUCGUCCAACGAAGAACAACUGAACGUAAACCAAUCCGAAACUAGUGACGUCCAUAAACAGGAAGUAGCAAACACAAAUUCUGGAGGGGGUGGGGCCGGAGAAGGCGCCCAAUAUAUAUUCAACGGCGAACUGUCAGAUUAUAGCAAUGGUGCAAAAACUCUGAGGAAAGAAGAUAGUCGAGGAGUUUACUUUUAUGACUCAUUAGUGACUAGUUACCUUGAUCCCCCAGAUCCUUGGAAAUAUGUCGAUGGAUGGAACAAUGACCAGAUUGCUUACAGAUACAGGAAAAGCUGUGAGAAACAUGGCACCAAGCCUUUGGCAAAGCUUUUGCCACAAAUCCAGGACAUGGUUAACAAUGGAAAAAGGAUAGAAGGUCUUAAUUUAAAAGGUGAAAAACUCGAUCACAAGCAAUGUGAAUGUCUUGAAGAGAUUCUCAAAUGUGUUCAGUUUCAAACCAUUGACCUUGAAGGAAGUCAUCUGGAUGAUGAGUGUGCUGUUGCUCUGUUUGAUAUGAUAGAAUAUUAUGACUCAGCGUGUCAGCUAAACAUAUCAUUUAACAAGAACAUUGGAGUGAGAGGUUGGCAGGCCUGUGCUAGACUAAUCCGAAGGACACCACAUCUAACAUAUCUUGACAUGAGAAACUGUGAUUUAAAUGAAAGAUCCGUUCCAAUUGUUGGGCGUGCACUAAAGUUGGGAAGUACUCUGACCGUGCUACAUCUUGAGAAUACAUACCUGUCCGGGCGGUCUCUUAUGAUAAUGGUUGCGGCUUUAAAGAUGAAUGAAAUUCUGGAGGAGCUGUUUCUGGCUGACAACAAGUUGAUGCCUAGUGAUGGCAUUCAGCUGGGGACACUCUUGAAGUUCAACCAUCACCUGCAGCUGCUGGAUGUGCGAAACAACCAUCUCCAGGAUGUGGGGACGAGUCAUCUCAGUGAUGGAUUGUAUGAACAGAACCUGUCUAUUGGACUGAAGACUCUCGUUCUGUGGAACAACGGAAUUACCUACCAGUCCAUGGCACCACUUGGCAGAGCACUGUCAUCUACAGAGACUUUAGUGACCUUAAACCUGGGUCACAACAACAUUACCAAUGAAGGAAUUCACAGAAUUAAAGAUGGCCUGUUAAAAAAUAAAUCUGUGCUUCGUCUUGGACUUCAAGGGAUUAAAAUAACCUGUGAAGGAGCUGUUGCACUUGCUGAAUUUAUCGCUGACAGUCCACGACUCUUGCGACUGGAUUUGCGUGAAAAUGAAAUAAAGACAGCUGGUCUAAUGGCAUUGUCACUAGCAAUGAGAGUGAAUGAGACUGUCACAAGGAUGGACCUAGACCGAGAUACAAAGAAGGAGUCGGCAAUGAAAGACUAUGCAGUGCAGCAAAGACGACUUCACCACGAAAUCAUUACAUACAUGGACCGCAACCAGAGGCAUGCUCUUCAGCUAGAGGCAGAAAACAAGGCUGUACAAGAAUCCAAACCGGAGCCUCCCAGCAUGUCAGUGGAACAAACGGAAUCACCAGCUGCAGACGAACUGGACGAGGAAGCGGUGACCUACAUUCCUUCUGCGGAGAAGAUACAGAGGCCCAAACUGUUGUUCUCUCACGAUGCCACUCCACAGCAGACGUUGGAGUCACCACACGACUUCCACCAGUUUUCACACGAAGACAUUCCAACCAGCUCGAGUGCCGACCAGAGUCUGAGUCUACACCUGAACGCUCCCCACGUGUCGAAACCUUUAGUAACCACCCCGCCGACAGAGCUGCUGCUCAGUCCUCAGUACGUUCCACAGCUCACAGCUAAGAAAAUCUUUUCCGUCAGUAAGGUCUCUGAGGCCUCUGUGUCGCAGGGUGUCGUUUCGUCGCCCCUGGACAGCGUGAAUUCAGCAGGAGUCAGUGCCAGCGCGCUGUGUCAGAAGAUGGCUGACGAGACCAUCAAUGAAUACAUUGAUCAGAUAGUGACUGCUGAUGACAGUGGUGCUGGUGGUCAAAGGAAGGGGCAGACUGCAGACAGUGACACUAAACGUGAUAAUGUAGAUUUGCUCACAGCGGCUUGUAGUCAUACUAGUCGUGAUGAUUCAGAGUGCAAGACAGAAUUACUUUCAGAUAGUUUGAAGGAAUAUAAUGAUAAUGCUGAAGAUGUAAAUCAGCUUUCAAAUAAUGUUUCAGAUCCGGUUCCCCUUGAAGCCAAUAGUACAACUACUGUGCAAUUUGGAGAUGGCACAGAUCCCUUGAAACUGUUACACACAGGUGUAGAAACAGGUAUAGCACAUGGAAAUGACACUGGAGAAAUGUCAUCUUUAUCAGACAUUUCUUCCAUCUUAUGUACCACAUCAGAGGAUGAAGCUAAUAGUCUGUGUGUAGUGGGUGUUGAUAGUGUUAGUAACCAUGAUUCUAAGGAGGACAUGAAGAAUAAUGGUACUACGGAAAUGAAUACUGAUGUACUUUCGGUGAUUGGUGAAAAGAAACACGGUGAAGCCACCAGUGUAGAAGUUGUGGGUGUUAGCAAAACAUUUCUUUCAGUGAGUAAUGCAGACACAUACUCUAAAGAAAAUGGUACAGGUGUAGUUUCCUUAGCAAAUAAUACAACAAAAAGCACAGAUUCCACAAAAAGCAACUCCAAGAUGGAUUCCGGAAUUGGCAGCUACGAGAAUGAGCAGUGGCUGAAAGUGGACUCUUCCGAUUUGAGCCACCAGUUGUGUAGUGGCCUGGAAUCGAUGGAAAACCAGACGACGGAAAAACCCAACUUCCACACCAACCUGUCAGUAAAUGGGCUUGCCCGUGAACUAGCCAGUGUUCUGGAUGCUCUUGAUGAACAAGUGGACCCGUCAUUUGCUGGUGUUGAGUUAAGUUCACCUGAUGAAUUUGAAAAAGAACUAGAUGCUAUGUUGGCCAAUGUUUAUCAAAGUCGGGAUACAUGGCCAUUUCUUGAACCUCCGAAGCCAGUGUCCGAGAAGACCACUGAACCCCCAGAAGAGCAGUCCUGACAGACGUCGUUCUGUUAGACCAACACUGUUGUACAUGUACCUUGUUCAUGUAGAUCUUUUUUUGUCUUUGCUAACUGUGCAAUGCAAAAAGACUUUCAAAGAUUGUGCGAUGUUUCUUAAGAGAGAGCUUUGUGAAUAAAGCCCGAGGGGUCUGUUCCAUGAAGUGACCUUAAGGUAAUUAUGCACUUAUGGUGAUCUUAGCGCUAAGAAUGGGACCCAGUUCUGUAUGUUGUGGUAACCUGUACAAGGGUUGCCACAAACAUUGCUUAUUUCGAUGCCUGGUAUUAUAAAUGCACUAGCCACUGGUUUUAGUUAUGCAUAGUAAUAGUCUUUCAAAAUCAUCUAUUUUUCUGAAAGAUGCAAAUACUAGGUGCAGUUCAAGAAUUGGAAUUCAGGAAAAGGAUGUCAUUACAAUUUUGUGGUGUGGUGUUAAAAUAUCUGCGAUUUGCAUUAGUAUUUUUUUAAAGAAUUCAACAAAGUUUCCGUUGGAUUUGUGGGGAAAAAAUAUGUACUAUACCGUAUUGACUAUCGACUGAAAGUGUACUCGCCCAGAACUCAUUUUCCUUGAAAACAAAUCCAGCAUGUAAAAUGUAUAGUAUAAAAAUACACCAGUGUACUCAAAAGAAACAUGUAUACUAUGUCAUCUGAAGCAAAGUUCCUUCUACAAGUACAUGUAUGUAGUGUAUUAUUAAACAAGUAAAAAUAUUUGGUCAUUUAAGCAUUAAAAGAUUGUCUGAAAAAAAAUCCAGAUACCCUGCAAUCUUAGUCUUCCUAAUGAGGAGGUUCUGCCUUAAUGCUGACAGUUAAAGAUAUAAGAUACAUAUGUAGUCUGUCUGUGUACAUCGUUUACAAGUUCUCUUGCCUCUUCAACAUCUAUAGCAAUGGAUUGUGGUUCUUCCUUUGCUGAAUAGGUUUAACAUCAGAAUAUUGACACUCUUUGUUCAUUUGUAUUGUAUCAUUUUGGUUGUGGUCAUUUUACAUUAAAAGCUAUUGCAAUAAUGCUAAAUUGUGCAAACCAUUACAUUGCCCUGCAUACAAAGACACCCUCCCCCCCCCCCCCCCCCCCUCGAAAUUUCAAGUUAUUUUAAUGAUGAAAAGUUAUUGUUGGGUUAAUUUAAAAAAUAAACAAUGGUCACCAACUAGAUUUGGCAGUAGAAAGACAUGAAUUUUAGAACUAGAUGGAUUAAUCGUACUUGUAUGAUUUAAACCUUUUUUUCUUUUUUCUUUUUUAGAAACUUGCAUGUAUGUUGAAAAUGGCCAGUUCAUGUUGCUAGAAUUGAAUAAUUAUGUUAAUUAGUGUUGCACACAAGACCAGCAUAUUAAUCAACCACAAUGCCUAUGCUUGAUGUGUUAUAGAAAGGUUUACUUGUGCACAAAAGCAAAUAUUUAUAAAAUGUACUCGUUUUAUCAGUACCACUAUUUGUAAUCAGAGUGUACAAUGUAUAGACUCCUGUUUGUUAAGUCAUAUUCAGGGCAAUCAUUUGUGUACUUGGAUGUAUUUAAAUGCAGAUUUUGUUUACAAUUCACAGCCUAGCCAUCCAUAUAUACUACAUAUAUUUACACAAUAUUAUAAUGUUUUGUUUUUGUUGAAAUGACACAGCUUAAUGUAAAUGUCAUGUACAUAGCUAAUUACUGAAUUCAUGCAUCAGAAUACUGUGAUCUUAUUGCCUUUGUUCAUUACUUGCAUAUACAUGUAUCUAUGAAAUCAAAUCUUAGGCAAAUCUAGAUACUUACAUGUACGUAGUAUGCCUAAAGGAAAUAAAAUGAUUCUCACAAUU
rnacentral:misc_RNA from 1 species